UUGGUCAAAUAAUGAAGCGUUUUCGCUUUUCCUUCACUGCCAAAAUUGUCGGCGUACUCCGCUAUAAAGUACGGUUGAGGUUACCUUUAAGAGCUGUUCUACAUGAAGUUUCUUUCCUGGACCACCAUAGGCUACCUGCUUCUUCUGUUUCAGUAAACUCUCAAAUAACGACAGAUGUACUCUGCUGUACUUCAGCGAAAUAAUUCGCGUAAGGUGCUGAUAGUGCUAUCAACCCUGGCGUUACUGCUUUUCUAAGUGACCACCGUAACACGUCAGUGCUUUUAAGUACGACUGAAUUCGGGAUCUUGAGAGAGCUACUGCAGAAGAAUCGUCGUCCCCCCGAUUUAAGUAACCCAUUCAGACCAACAUUUAUUACAGCUCCAAUAGAGUUAGUCCAAUAGAGGGCUGGGCUACGAUAUCCUUAGCCCAGUGCUUACUUUUUGCUGCUAUCUAUUUGGCUCCCUACUUUAUAGUAUCGGCUACAGUACGACAUCGAAGGCGUCUCGGUGAUAGCCGAGAGGCGAUACACAGUUAAGUUUAGCAAUGCGGCAUCGCAGACUAUUGUAGGGGUAUAUAAGUGUAUCUUUUUACUCCUUGUUCAAUCUUCUCCGCCUAGCAUCAGAGAUCCUUCAGAAGGUUUCCAAGAGAAACAGAACAACGGGAGACAAUAGGCGGUGGCGUAGAUAAACUCUGGGAAAUGAGUUUUCACAUUGUUGCCGCUGUACCUCACCUAAGUCGCAGGGAGUGGCUUUUUGAAUUUUGUCGCAGUUACUUUCAUUGUUGGCAUCAUUUCGCCUAGCAGCAGUAACAUUGAAUCAAACCCACUUCGCCAGCAUGGUUGUCUUUGGGUGCCACUCAUCUACGCUAUCCCUUAUCUCUUUAUCUCACUAUGUCUCAGCUGAGACUGGCACCGUGAGCUGCAUCGGCUCUUUCUUCGACAAUCCGUUCAUUUAGUUAUUUCAAACAACUGGUGGAGGUGGCAUCCCCCUCCUACAAUUACCGUUGUAGUAUGGAUUCUACAGUGACAAUGGUGGUAAAAUCACAGCCGGCUGGCGACAACUUAAACAACCUUUACGAAGUCGAUGGUAGAAUAGGAACGGGACGAAGUGGAGGAAAAAAUAAGGAUUGCAAACAACGGCAACGACUACAGCGAUUGCGGCUGAAACGAACGGAGAAAUGGGAUCUGGCGAAGCGUACGGACAACGAAGCUUUAUGAAAUAGCGUAUCCGCGCUGGCGGAAGAAUAUCGGCAGAUCCAGUUUGCCCCACAGGGUUUCUCUCCUCUCACUCUUUUGCUCAUUCUCGUUUUUCUAACGUCAACAAUAUUGCUAAGUGGGGUUGAUAUCGACCUUUUCCUUUGCCGGGUCGACCUACGCUCGUAACAGUCGCGUACCGCAUUUCAAAGAAAAGCCGGAAAGCUUUGAAAGGCUGUAGCGAUGAUUGUUACUAAGCGUUCCAUAUAUACUACUUGCAAUAGAAACUUUGAAAAAGCGAACGAUGAUUAGAUUGUAGCGUGAGCGGAGGGUUACAAUAAAAUGUCAUUCGUUUGCGACGAACGGCUAUGCAAAGCAAUCGUAGACAGCGCUCCGCAGCGUUGAAGUGUGCUUGGAUCCUAAACAGUCAUAAAACAUGAAGCCAUAUAAAUGCUAGCUAACUAUCCGGGCACUUCUGACUUAAAUGAAUGCAGUUUUGCUGAUCGUUUGGUUGACCAGCCAGUUACGGAAGUAUACCUCAUCAUGCGGUUCUAAUCAUACUAUAGAAUGAAAGCAAUGUUGGCGGGAAGUGAGACGAAAAUUCUUAAUCGUUCCUGCAUCAAUGUGCCAAUGCCACUCCAUGGCAUAAUGCAACAUUGUCAUCAUCAUGUGCGUAGAAAACUGUGUAACCGUUCUACUAACCUUAAGCGCUACUCUGUGUUGUAUAGCCUUGCACAGAUCAUGCUAUUGUGCAGAUAUUCGCGUUGAUAAGCGGAGACCUCUACACAAAAGCUCAUAGAUGACACGUAGUCAUUAAGACAUGAACCGAGGAUGUGGGCCGAGUACUUGGGCUGACUUCCCCCCAUAGGAGAACAGUAGGAAAUAAGGCUUGCGUAAAAAAAUGUAGGCUUGCCAAUGGGCGGCAACGCGACAUGAAACCAAUCGACAGUCUAUGCAACGGAGUUUGUUUCGAAUAUUCGUGAGUGAAACUCCAGUUCAUUAGCGUACUGCCACUGCUGCUAUUUUGUACUGCUUUUGCAGCUGUCCCUCUAAUGAGGUGGGAACCUCCUCAUUGACGCCUCUUUUGAAAAUGAAGCAUUAUUACGAUCCAAGUUCGGUGAUGCAAUGCCCCGUGUCGUUGCUAUCACCCUUUCUGCCUCAUCGUUCCAUUGAAUGUUGGUCACCCGCUUCCUACUCAUAAAGGCUGCGGUCAAGUCUAACAGUACGAGUCUUCAGUGAACCAUGCUGCCUGUGACGUUUGAAGAGAUCUUUACGCAAACACUGGCAGGGUCAAGGAGCCGUUUGCGUGGUGCACCUUAUGUGAUUGUACGCAAAAAUUGUACAUCCACUGGUAAAGACGAACGUGCUUCAACUACUUUAGUGCAGGAUAUAUCGCUUAAACCGCUUGAGAUACUAGCCAGUUUCGCAUCCAGCCUGACUGUCAAAGCAGCUGCGAUGCUGCUUCUAUUGUCUAUGUUUGUGGUUAGAUAGAAGGUAGAGGUUGUCAUGUUUUGCUUGAACGUUGACUGCUGGCACCCUGGACGAUUCAAACGAACAAAUGAUUUUCUCGGAUGGCCUGGUCCAUACUCCGUUUCACCACAGCCACCAGCGUUGCGUAGCGUUCUGUUAUCAAUUGCUUAGGCCCAUUGUAUUUAAUGGAGAUAAAAUGGGCCCAGGAUGGUAAAGAAUAGGACGAGCUUAGUCAAUUGACGACCUCUUAAAUCCAGCCCGUGUUGUCUCAUAACCCGAGUCAAGCCGAAGCCGACCUUAUAAUCGUCAAUAAAAAGGCGAAAAAUCAUGAAAGAGCCUUGCUGGCAAAACGAACCGAUCUUAAUGGAAAUUUAUUGGCAGUUUACGUUAUCAUACCGCAUGAUGACGCCAGCGUGCUUAAUACGGCUUAAAAAUAAAGCUUAAUCACUGCGGAGGGCAUAACCUAUCUACUGUGCCACACCGCUUUAUCGAAUUUAAUCUCUAUAUUGGCAUUAGUCUAUGCAAGCAACCUAUCAAGCAUCGUACCCCGUUGAUUCGAUAAACUCGCAAAGAGACAGACGACCUUCACCCCUUCCCCCCUUCCCAUUAAAAGGAAGAUUCGUCCCUGUUUAUGCAUUUCUUCAAACCCUUCAAACAAACAACGGAGAUGUUGCAAGUGCCAGUUUAGUUCAUCUCAACGUCAAGGACGUACCUUAGUUUAUCUUCGUGAA